CUGGCGUAAAGAGUCUCCCUGCAUGCCUGCAGCAACGGCUAAGCUGCCUUGUGUCAAAAUUUCUAGAUGCCCGUCAUCAAGGUACGCACGCGCCAGUUUGCUUCUCUAUUGAUUUGUCACAUCUCAGCAACAAAUUCAGACAUCCUUCCACAUAUACUACUACUCGAGCUGGAUCUGUUUGCUCUAGCUAGUUACUACUACAUAAUUAAGUGGGUCCUGAUUCAUGCACACUUACACUAACUACUACGGAGUACACUAGAGCAGAGAGCAUAUUUAAUCAAGUGCUUAGAUAACUGUAAUAGCACACACCAAAGAUAAUGAUAACCGCAUGACUAGUACUACAACCCCAAACUGGAGUAAAUAUCAAUUGUAUGUAAAUUAUUCAUCUCUUCAGUGCACAUUUUUUCAGUGUAAACUUUGAUGCUGCAUUAAUAUACAGUACUUACCAGUUUUCCGUGACAUCAUUUGUGAAACAGAGCCUAGCCUUCUGAAGCCCAAGACAUGGAGAAAUGGCUUCCGCUGAGAGAAGUGUGCUGUUGAUAUGGACAACAUCACCCUGGGAAUCUACCAAGGAGCAGCAGGAGGUUCAAUUCGAUUAUAUGGACGGGUCGUAUUCUGAGAUUUCUUCUGUUGUUGAUUGUGUGUGGCUCCUUUGUAGAGCUGUUUCCGCACAUCCAGGGUACCUGGAGUAGGAACCAUGUUUCUAUGAAGUAUGUAUAUUGCCGCGCUUUCAGUUAGCUACAUUCAUUGACAUGCCAAGAACAGUCUGGUUGUAAGUUGUAGCUCAGAUAUGUAGAUGUCUCAUGUGGACAGACUAGCUGUUUCCUCUUCUGCUGUAAUGAAGCUGGAGUCUUAUAUUGUUCUCUUUAUGCUAUCCCCCCAGGUCUUGAUGUUGAU
rnacentral:lncRNA from 1 species